rnacentral:rRNA from 1 species
GGAUGCGAUCAUACCAGCACUAAAGCACCGGAUCCCAUCAGAACUCCGUAGUUAAUCGUGCUUGGGCGAGAGUAGUACUAGGAUGGGUGACCUCCUGGGAAGUCCUCGUGUUGCAUUCC